UAAUACGUAGGUGGCGAGCGUUAUUCGGAUUCACUGGGCGUAAAGGGUCCGUAGGGGGUCUGCCAAGUCCGAUGUGAAAGCCCACGGCUCAACUGUGGAACGGCAUUGGAUACUGGCGGGCUGGAGUCUGCGAGGGGUGAGCGGAAUUCCUGGUGUAGCGGUGGAAUGCGUAGAUAUCAGGAAGAACACCGAUGGCGAAGGCGGCUCACUGGCGCAGUACUGACCCUGAGGGACGAAAGCGUGGGUAGCAAACAGG
rnacentral:rRNA from 1 species